CUAGAGAUGGAUCUCUUCCAGCAAUGGACCUGCACACAGGUGCUGCAUGGCUGUCGUCAGCUCGUGUCGUGAGAUGUGGGUUAAGUCCCGCAACGAGCGCAACCCUCGCCUUAGUUGCCAUCAUUCAGUUGGGCACUCUAAAGGGACUGCCGGUGAUAAGCCGCGAGGAAGGUGGGGAUGACGUCAAGUCCUCAUGGCCCUUACGGGCUGGGCUACACACGUGCUACAAUGGCGGUGACAGUGGGAUGCAAAGGGGCGACCCCUCGCAAAUCUCAAAAAGCCGUCUCAGUUCGGAUUGUACUCUGCAACUCGAGUGCAUGAAGUUGGAAUCGCUAGUAAUCGUGGAUCAGCAUGCCACGGUGAAUACGUUCCCGGGCCUU
rnacentral:rRNA from 1 species